AUUCUUAGUUCUUAAAUGGUUAGAGCGUAGGUCUCGUAAACGAAAGGUUGCGAGAUCGAAUCCCGCUAGGGCUA
rnacentral:tRNA from 1 species